UGAGCCUACGGGAGGCAGCAGUGAGGAAUAUUGGUCAAUGGUCGGGAGACUGAACCAGCCAAGCCGCGUGAGGGAGGAAGGUACAGAGUAUCGUAAACCUCUUUUGUCAGGGAACAAAGGCGGGGACGUGUCCCCGGAUGAGUGUACCUGAAGAAAAAGCAUCGGCUAACUCCGUGCCAGGAGCCGCGGGAAUACGGAGGAUGCGAGCGUUAUCCGGAUUUAUUGGGGUUAAAGGGUGCGCAGGCGGUCGGUUAAGUCAGCGGUCAAAGGCCGGGGCUCAACCCCGGCCCGCCGUUGAAACUGGG
rnacentral:rRNA from 1 species